rnacentral:tRNA from 1 species
GAAAAAUGACUCAGUGGUAGAGCAUUCACUUGGCAUACAGAAGGUCCCAGGUUCAAUCCCUGGCAUCUGCA